AAUGGGAUAGCUGGGUCAAGUGGUGGUUCCAUUCCCAGAUUUCCAAGGAAUCUCCAUACUGCUUUCUAUAUUGGUUGCACCAAUUUGCAGUCCUACCAGCAAU
rnacentral:pre_miRNA from 1 species